rnacentral:rRNA from 1 species
GAUGAACGCUGGCGGCGUGCCAAAUACAUGCAAGUCGAGCGGUAAGGUCCCUUCGGGGAUACACGAGCGGCGGACGGCUGAGUAACACGUAGGAACGUACCCCAAAGUGAGGGAUAAGCACCAGAAAUGGUGUCUAAUACCGCAUGUGCUCUAAGGAGUAAAGCUUCGGCGCUUUGGGAACGGCCUGCGUCCGAUUAGCUAGUUGGUGAGGUAAUAGCUCACCAAGGCGACGAUCGGUAGCUGGUCUGAGAGGAUGAUCAGCCAGACUGGGACAGAGACACGGCCCAGACUCCUACGGGAGGCAGCAGUAGGGAAUUUUCCACAAUGGGCGAAAGCCUGAUGGAGCAACGCCGCGUGCAGGAUGAAUGCCUUCGGGUUGUAAACUGCUUUUAUAUGUGACGAUUAUGACGGUAACAUAUGAAUAAGAAUCGGCUUACUCCGUGCCAGCCGCCGCGGUAA